CUACGGGGCGCUCCAGUGGGGAAUAUUGCACAAUGGACGAAAGUCUGAUGCAGCAACGCCGCGUGGAGGAUGACACAUUUCGGUGCGUAAACUCCUUUUAUAUAGGAAGAUAAUGACGGUACUAUAUGAAUAAGCACCGGCUAACUCCGUGCCAGCAGCCGCGGUAAUACGGAGGGUGCAAGCGUUACUCGGAAUCACUGGGCGUAAAGAGCGUGUAGGCGGAUAGAUAAGUCAGGAGUGAAAUCCUAUGGCGCAACCAUAGAACUGCUCUUGAAACUGUCAAUCUAGAGUGUGGGAGAGGUAGAUGGAAUUUCUGGUGUAGGGGUAAAAUCCGUAGAGAUCAGAAGGAAUACCGAUUGCGAAGGCGAUCUACUGGAACAUAACUGACGCUGAGACGCGAAAGCGUGGGGAGCAAACAGGAUUAGAUACCCCCGUAGUC
rnacentral:rRNA from 1 species